rnacentral:misc_RNA from 1 species
AAAAUAUCCAACGCGCUGCCCACUGUCACAUCCACACGCCCCAUCCCCGCGACUUUGAUCUUCUCAAGAUCAGCCAUCCCAGUGACACCACCAGCAUAUGUUACAGGAAUGGGGGAAUACUUUCCAAGCAAUGCUACAAGCUCCUCAUCUAUUCCCAGCUUUUUGCCUUCAACAUCAACACCAUGAACCAGAAACUCAUCAGCGUACUCCGCAAGAAAAUUCAGGACUUUCUCAUUGAGAUGUACAUCACUGAACUUCUGCCACCUGUCUGUGACAAUGACAUACUCACCCUCCUUUUUACGGCAACUAAGAUCCAAAACAAGCCUCUUUCUUCCAACGAGGGAAGAAAG